rnacentral:tRNA from 2 species
GCGGGCGUAGCUUAAUGGUAAAGCUCCAGCCUUCCAAGCUGAUCACGUGGGUUCGAUUCCCAUCGCCCGCUCCA